rnacentral:rRNA from 1 species
CGCGGAAGAUGUAACGGGGCUAAACCAUGCACCGAAGCUGCGGCAGCGACCCUCAGGUGUUGUUGGGUAGGGGAGCGUUCUGUAAGCCUGUGAAGGUGUGUCGUGAGGCAUGCUGGAGGUAUCAGAAGUGCGAAUGCUGACAUAAGUAACGAUAAAGCGGGUGAAAAGCCCGCUCGCCGGAAGACCAAGGGUUCCUGUCCAACGUUAAUCGGGGCAGGGUGAGUCGACCCCUAAGGCGAGGCCGAAAGGCGUAGUCGAUGGGAAACGGGUUAAUAUUCCCGUACUUGGUGUUACUGCGAAGGGGGGACGGAGAAGGCUAUGUUGGCCGGGCGACGGUUGUCCCGGUUUAAGCGUGUAGGUGUGUGUUCCAGGUAAAUCCGGUUCACUUUAACACUGAGGCGUGACGACGAGGCACUACGGUGCUGAAGCAACAAAUGCCCUGCUUCCAGGAAAAGCCUCUAAGCAUCAGGUAACAUCAAAUCGUACCCCAAACCGACACAGGUGGUCAGGUAGAGAAUACCAAGGCGCUUGAGAGAACUCGGGUGAAGGAACUAGGCAAAAUGGUGCCGUAACUUCGGGAGAAGGCACGCUGACACGUAGGUGAAGUGAUUUACUCAUGGAGCUGAAGUCAGUCGAAGAUACCAGCUGGCUGCAACUGUUUAUUAAAAACACAGCACUGUGCAAACACGAAAGUGGACGUAUACGGUGUGACGCCUGCCCGGUGCCGGAAGGUUAAUUGAUGGGGUCAGCGCAAGCGAAGCUCCUGAUCGAAGCCCCGGUAAACGGCGGCCGUAACUAUAACGGUCCUAAGGUAGCGAAAUUCCUUGUCGGGUAAGUUCCGACCUGCACGAAUGGCGUAAUGAUGGCCAGGCUGUCUCCACCCGAGACUCAGUGAAAUUGAACUCGCUGUGAAGAUGCAGUGUACCCGCGGCAAGACGGAAAGACCCCGUGAACCUUUACUAUAGCUUGACACUGAACAUUGAGCCUUGAUGUGUAGGAUAGGUGGGAGGCUUUGAAGUGUGGACGCCAGUCUGCAUGGAGCCGACCUUGAAAUACCACCCUUUAAUGUUUGAUGUUCUAACGUGGACCCGUGAUCCGGGUUGCGGACAGUGUCUGGUGGGUAGUUUGACUGGGGCGGUCUCCUCCUAAAGAGUAACGGAGGAGCACGAAGGUUGGCUAAUCCUGGUCGGACAUCAGGAGGUUAGUGCAAUGGCAUAAGCCAGCUUGACUGCGAGCGUGACGGCGCGAGCAGGUGCGAAAGCAGGUCAUAGUGAUCCGGUGGUUCUGAAUGGAAGGGCCAUCGCUCAACGGAUAAAAGGUACUCCGGGGAUAACAGGCUGAUACCGCCCAAGAGUUCAUAUCGACGGCGGUGUUUGGCACCUCGAUGUCGGCUCAUCACAUCCUGGGGCUGAAGUAGGUCCCAAGGGUAUGGCUGUUCGCCAUUUAAAGUGGUACGCGAGCUGGGUUUAGAACGUCGUGAGACAGUUCGGUCCCUAUCUGCCGUGGGCGCUGGAGAACUGAGGGGGGCUGCUCCUAGUACGAGAGGACCGGAGUGGACGCAUCACUGGUGUUCGGGUUGUCAUGCCAAUGGCACUGCCCGGUAGCUAAAUGCGGAAGAGAUAAGUGCUGAAAGCAUCUAAGCACGAAACUUGCCCCGAGAUGAGUUCUCCCUGAGACUUAGAGUCUCCUGAAGGAACGUUGAAGACGACGACGUUGAUAGGCCGGGUGUGUAAGCGCAGCGAUGCGUUGAGCUAACCGGUACUAAUGAACCGUGAGGCUUAACCUUACAACGCCGAAG